rnacentral:rRNA from 1 species
GAUGAACGCUGGCGGCGUGCCUAAUACAUGCAAGUCGAGCGGACGGGCGCUGAUCUUGCUUCUCUGAUGUUAGCGGCGGACGGGUGAGUCACACGUGGAUUACCCUCCUCUAAGACUUGAAUCACUUCGGGAAACCGUAGCUAAUACCGGAUAAUAUUUUUAACCUCAUGGUUCAAAAGUGAAUUCCGUUCUUGCUGUCACUUCUAGCUGUAUCCUCGCUGCAUGAGUUAGUUGGUACGGUAACGGCUUAACAAGGCAACAAUGCAUAGCCGAGCUGAGAGGGUGAUCGGCGACACAGGAAGUGAGACACGAUACAGAGUCCUACGGGAGGCAGAAGUAGGGAAUGGAGCGAAAUGGGGGAAAGACUGAAGGAGCAACGCCGCGUGGGUGAUGAAGGGCUUCGGAGCGUAAGACGCUGUUAGUAGUGAAGAACAUAUGUGUAAGGAACUGAGCACAUCGUGACGGUACCUAAUCAGGAAGCAACGGCUAACUACGUG